GCCACCGGCAAGGCCUACUAGCCUAAAGGCACCAGAUCCCAUUUGAUCUUGAAAGCUAAGCAGGGACAUCCUUGGUUAGUAUUUGGAUGCAAUACUACCAAUGAAUACCAGAUGCUGUAGGCU
rnacentral:rRNA from 11 species